CUAGAACCCUUGCCAAGAAGAUGGCAAAGUGUUUUCAUGAUCAAGUUGCAAAGUUGGAAGAAGUUCCUGUAAGACGACUAGAGGAAAUGAAGGGAGAAGAUGAAGAAAUCACCAUGCUGCCUGAAGAACAAAGUCAUUCUAUGAGGGCUGUUACUGGCUUCUCAGAUACUGUUGCAAUAGAAGAGCUACCUUCGCAAACUCAAGAGGUUUCUGAGGCUGCCCCAGACCGCGAGCAAGAGAAGACCACUGAGCAGAAGUCCACCGAUGAUUCAACAAAGAACCCUGGCAUAUUUUACAGUGGUGGAUCCCGAGAUCCUCUGGUCACGAGAAGCAGGUAAAACCUUUUUGUCAUCAGUUUCUCUGCAGAGCUUCUGA
rnacentral:lncRNA from 1 species